rnacentral:rRNA from 1 species
UACAGGGGGGGCAAGCGUUGUUCGGAAUUACUGGGCGUAAAGGGCCAGUAGGCGGCCAACUAAGUCACACGUGAAAUCCCCGGGCUUAACCCGGGAACUGCGUGUGAUACUGGAUGGCUUGAAUUCGGGAGAGGGAUGCAGAAUUCCAGGUGUAGCGGUGAAAUGCGCAGAUAUCAGGAGGAACACCGGUGGCGAAGGCGGGUCUCUGGGCCGAUACUGACGCUGAGGAGCGAAAGCGUGGGGAGCGAACGGG